UGGACAGUGGAGAGCCAGGUCUGGCACUGCUGCAAAGUGUCCUGGUGACUGACAUGCUUCUGCAGCUCUCUGUCCAGACUCUGGUAAACCUGAUGAAGACGCAGACACACCAAGACAGGUCUGGAUGGAGUCUGAGGUUACCAACCUACUGGACAUCUGUAGGAGCCACUUCUCCACCUCCUGGAGAUCACAGUUGUAGCACUCAUGCUCCUUCACCCACUCCACCAGACUCUGGACCUGGCUCUGCAAACAAGUUCAAAACACUUUCUCUCAUAGACAACUACAGUAGACGUCUCCACAGCUACACAAAUCAGGACACCUACCUUGGCUGCAGUGCAGAGAUCCUGGUAGUCAGUCUGCAUCCUGUUUAUGUUGUCUCUGAUGGUGGGGUCAC